CAUUACCAAUACCAGCAGCACCUCCACCAAUCACUCAUCCCCCAUUAACCAUCAACACAAUCCCAACGGUCAACUACCAACCGUUAAUACUUCUCCUUACGCGAUUACAACGACUAAGCUAAUGACAUUGCAGUACCCGCCGAGCAAAACCAUUAUGGCGCACCUAAACCAUCAUCAUCACACAUCCACACAGGCAACCAUGUCCUCGAAUGCAGUGUACCACAAAACCGAGCAACGAACCUUACCGUAACGCCAUAGGGUCCCUGCCGUACUAACCGACUGCGGCAUCACGUGUUAUAUUUCGUGGCAUUUACCAACGGAACCAACCAAUUCAAACCACCACCCGGAGGGCUCCUGAAGGCGCUCAAACAGCAGCCCGGGUCAAAAUGCCGCCAAGUCGCCGAGAUGAAACGCGGCUGUCGAUCGCGCCCUUGCCUUCAAACCGCACAUUCGCAAGAUCGUGCUCACGCAGCGGGAACGUUGAAGUACGCUACCAAGUCUGAAGGACGAUAAAGACUUUCGAGAAGAUAUGCAAAUAGCCAAAGACCAUGCACCAUGUACACAUACUCUACACACAUUCGUUAGCAUGCCAAAUCGCUGAAAGCUUCUUGGUGCCAGUAAAUCCAAACGCCCCGACGGCAUAAGCCCCAGUCAGCAAAUCGGUUUCAAAUUUACCACAUGCAAUGGUCGUACAGCUGUACGGCUGCGCGCUAGAACUAACUUCAGCAUCCCAAACACAUCAAUCAAUGGCUGCGGUGGUAUCGACCUCUUCUUGUUCCGAAAGGUGCGAAAUGCAAGGCAAGGCGGUAUACGCCGUGUAAGACACGGAGCCGCCGUACACACACCUAACCCCCCCACACACACGGGGUUCCUUCCGUACAGCCGAACCUCCGUACAGCCGAGGCCCAUAGGUUGCAGCAUCAGCCUCCGUCAUUCUUCGAAUGGUACUUUAACGGUCUUGCUCACCAUGCCGCGUAUUCCACGUGCAAGGAUGGACGUACGGAUGGAUGGACGUACGGAUAGAUGGACGUACGGAUGAAGGUACGUACGGAUGGAUGGACGUAUGGAUAGAUGGACGUACGGAUGAAGGUACGUACGGAUGGAUGGACGUACGGAUAGAUGGACGUACGGAUGAAGGUACGUACGGAUGGAUGGACGUACGGAUGAAAGAAGAAACGUCAUGCAUGCAUGCAUGCCUAUAUAGUACUCUAGGCCGCCAUCAAUCUGCCUCUCUCCAAUAUUAUCCACGUUUACUCGACCGCCUUUGUGGUGUACCGGCUUCACGAGAUCAGUAAACCCACCUCAAAUGUAUGUAUGUAUGUAUAUAUAUAUAUAUAUAUGUUGUUACAGGGUGGUUAACUUCGCCAGCGGCCCCCUUUCCCGGGGCAGUCCCUGCUCUCCCCUGCUAGAGGGGCACCCUAAUCCGUCACCCCAUCCGACUUCAGAAUGUAUUCGUUGGGUUCGGCAACUCACCACCAGCAUCCAACUAAAUCUAGCGGAUCAACGGCGCAUCAACUUAGUUCCUGGUCAGCUCGCAAGUUGAUAUUAUCACGUCCUACACCGUCCAUAAGAUGGGGGGCCACCUCCCAUUUCAUCACUCCUCAAACACCCGAGGAGCCGGCAGGCGGAUUUGAACCCGCAUAUAUAUCCGCAUCUGUACAUCCCGUCUAAUCACCCCCCUUCUACUCGCCUUCUGUAACCCUCAACCGAAUCACACAACCGCCGACCAACCCACCAAUCAACCCACCAAGCAUUACGUGCCAAAAUGGCACUCCGUUACCCCCUUUUCCCCCACAAACCCGACAUACAUACGCAGAGCCAUGGGCAUCAAUCCGAGCGCCGCCACCUUGCAAGAGCAGUUGCUAGGAGGGGAGAUUCAAGUACGGAAACUAAUAACUACUACGAUCGUAUGCAGCGAUAAAUAUCAAAAAUAGAUAUUAUGCCCUAAGAAGAAAAUGAGGAGUCUUCCGUACAGCUGGAACCCAGAUUGAGAAGCGAAAUGAAUAAAUGGGGGGUGGGAAGUCUCCGCUGGGGAUCCCUGCGAGCUUUUUCGUGCAGCGAGAGCCGCGGGUGGCGCGUGAAGCGCUGCUGCAAGUUUAGGAUUAGGAGGGAUACACGCGCCAGCACACCACAGCACACCACAGCACGACUGCCAGAAAUCCACACCACUACCCACAACGGAAAAGAAACCCAAUGCCCGUACAUCAUGCCCCCAUCUCCUCACAUGGGUAAUAAUUGUGCGUCAAGAUGUCACGCGGGUCGCCCCUCCCCCCCGCGUCCAUUUGGCACCAACGGGUGGGGAGGCACCUGUGGCGAAACAACGAUCCGAAGCCCGUCACAGGAAUGAAGUUCAUCGGAACGGAGACCAACAUGGCCACAGCUAUAGCUACAGCUAUAGCUACAGCUACAGCACGACAGAUCAGUGGCGUUAUUCGGCGUUAUUUUUCCAUAAACCACUGCAACCCAGGCAAAAUGCUACAUCGUACGGUGUCGUACCGUACCUGCAUCCCUAUGUAGUAGAUCGCGCAGGUAUAAUCCUCAUUGAAUGCGAUUCCGUCGGACACCGGAAUGGAGUAGGGGGAGUAGGCACCGACGACAACUAACUCUCCAAGCCAUUACAACCGCAUUUCGAAACACGCCUGACAUAAAACAGCACAGGGGGAUGAGAUGUCGUAGAGCUCGGACGCGUGGGGGAGUGGGGGGAAAGACGAACCACAAACUAGUGAAGGGGGAGUGGGGGGGCGAUAAGGAGAUGAAAGCAUCGGUGGACGGCCUCCCAGACUCUUCUUUCUUCUCCCCACACUUCCCUCGCCUCCUCCUCCGCUCCCCCCUCCUCCCCCCGCCCAAACUUCGCUCGCUCGUGCUUCGUCUUCUCCCC
rnacentral:lncRNA from 1 species